UUUCAGCAGGUAUGUGAGAUGUCUCACUCUGGAGCUAAAACGAAACCCAAACACACAGGGUGAAAACAGAAUCUGCAGCAAUAUGCAGUACAACUAAAAUAUGGUCUUUUUUGAAAAUUAA